GGAACCUGGUUGAUCCUGCCAGUAAUCAUAUGCUCGUCUCAAAGAUUAAGCCAUGCAUGUCUAAGUAUAAGCAACUUAUACUGCGAAACUGCGAACGGCUCAUUAAAUCAGUUAUCGUUUAUUUGAUAUUCCCUUACUACAUGGAUAACCGUAGUAAUUCUAGAGCUAAUACAUGCGAGAAAUUCCUUGCCUUC
rnacentral:rRNA from 1 species